rnacentral:rRNA from 1 species
GACGAGGUUGAUAGGCUGGGGGUGGAAGUGCAGCAAUGCAUGGAGCUGACCAGUACUAAUCGGUCGAGGGCUUAUCCAA